AGUGAACGCUGGCGGUAGGCCUAACACAUGCAAGUCGAACGGCAGCACAGUAAGAGCUUGCUCUUACGGGUGGCGAGUGGCGGACGGGUGAGGAAUACAUCGGAAUCUACUUUUUCGUGGGGGAUAACGUAGGGAAACUUACGCUAAUACCGCAUACGGCCUACGGGUGAAAGCAUGGGAUCUUCGGACCUUGCGCGAUUGAAUGAGCCGAUGUCGGAUUAGCUAGUUGGCGGGGUAAAGGCCCACCAAGGCGACGAUCCGUAGCUGGUCUGAGAGGAUGAUCAGCCACACUGGAACUGAGACACGGUCCAGACUCCUACGGGAGGCAGCAGUGGGGAAUAUUGGACAAUGGGCGCAAGCCUGAUCCAGCCAUACCGCGUGGGUGAAGAAGGCCUUCGGGUUGUAAAGCCCUUUUGUUGGGAAAGAAAAGCAGCAGGUUAAUACCCCGCUGUUCUGACGGUACCCAAAGAAUAAGCACCGGCUAACUUCGUG
rnacentral:rRNA from 1 species